UCCUCCAGACUCCCAUGUGAAGAGUCCUUACCCCUUGCUACGGGAUUCGGUGGCGUGGUGCGACUCGGGGCGAGGCAUGGCAUGCAGGCAGAGCACAGGGUCUCGAAGGGCCCUGACCCGCGGCUGGCCAGCAUCCUCCCUGAGGUCGUCCGGCACUCACCGAGGCCACCGCCUGUUACCCACACGACUGACGUCACCGCUUCCGCCCUCGAGCAGGAGCCUGGACGCGCUGCCCGCCUGGGCCGAGGCAUUCUUUUUUUUUCCGUGACGUUUGCACUUCUCCGAUGGCCUCACGCACUGUACCGAUGGCGAUGUGCUGCAGGUGGGACCCUAUAUGGAUACUGGCUGGAUGAAGUGCCUUGUUGAGCGCACUAGCCACCACUGACGUGGUUCCGUGCCACUGAGGAGACUGCUGCGUGCGCGUCCUGCGCGGUGUUCCGGUCCCACAGAGCUCGGCGAUCGUGUUGGAGGAAGGUGCCGCAGCGCUCAGAACAGGCGACAUGAUUGAGGGCUGCGAAUGCCGCAGCUGCGUGGCCGACUGCGUCCUCUCGCGCUGGGUGAGGAGGAGGGUCUGAUGAGGAGACGGCUUAUGCUGCGGUCGCGGAGGGAUACGUGGUCGGUGUCUGGCUGGACUGCUCGCCGUGGCUCUGCGUGCUGUGCAACGUUGGUGGAGUCGCGGGCUGGAAGGCGUCGCUUUCCCAGGGGUCCAUGCCUGAAGGGCUCAUGUCCUCAGCCGUGUUGGGCGCCGCUGGCGGGAGGGCCUAUCGGCUGGGAGCUGUGCCAGUGGCGUGAAGCGUUACGCCCUGAAGCGAUGCAGGUGGUGGCAGCACGGUUGGCUGGUGGCCCCCUGCAACGCCGCGCGACGUGCUAGGCAUGUGCGAGUCGAUGUGUGUGCAGGCCGCAUGCAGAUUGCAGGCACGUGUGGAGCUGUGAGACAGGCAGCGGGGCCGGUGACUCAGGCGACAUGCUGGUUGAAGGUCACUGUCAACCGUGACGAAGCUGGCGUCGCUCCCCCCACCAAGUGUUGCAUGGGUAAUGUUCCGGCGCAAUGCGAAGGUCGUCUGCCUUGGAGGAAAAACUGUCGGGAAGCUGCGUGCGGCGUCAGCUAGACCUGUGGCAAUGGAAUGGCCAGAACUUUCUUGCGAUGACUGCGGCUCAGUGCCGGAGUUGUGAUGGCUCGUGCUCACUUAUUUUUGGGGUUUCUCCAAGGUGCAAGGUGGCUGUCUUUCAAUAACUUGCGUUUCUUUUUUUGUUGCUGGGUCGCCGAUAGCCGGCCGCGUGCAUGAAAUGGGCGACACAGUAUGCCGCCAUGGCCUGCACGCGAUGAAGCCGCGACGCCGCCAACCGUUUACGUGCGGCUGCACCUCAGAGAGGUGUCAUCACCUUCUGUUUGAGGAUUUUCAAGAGCUACGUGCCGCAUCGGCGAACCAACGCGAAUCGCUCUGCGUGAAGCGGGGGCGCGAGGUGUGCGGCGACGCUGUGGCGCUGGCGUGUGCGACCGUCGUCUGUGCCAUCUCACCAUGGAGGGGUGCCCAUCGCGUCGCUCAGCAUGGCCGCCGCUGGGGUGCGGCGCCUCGGCCUGCGCAUGAUUGCCGUGCGCCGCCGCGAGCGGGCGUUCGCGUAGACGCAGCACGCCGUGGGCGAGUUGUUUGCCGCGGUGCAUGAAUGCCGCGUCUCGGCGGGAAGGCGCACGGAUGAGAAGCUGCUGAGGUCGGUGCGGCGCUGGGGGCGCACUGCGUUGCACGAUCCCGCACAGGACGUGUGCGUGUUCCACCACAAGCUUUUCCACUCCGCCUCCCGGUGCUGCUGGCUGCAGGCGCGCGGUGAGAUGAGGAGGUGAUGGGGAAGGGCGGGUGGUGGCUCUGCGCGAGCGCGUGGGUGUCGGGUGGAUGGGAGUGUGCACUGAUGUAGGUGCACCCUCGCGUGCUGCGACUGGCACCGCCGCCCUCCUCGCCCCAUGGGGCGCACACGGGGUCGCUGCUGCUCGCAUCCCCUGCUCUUUGGUGAUGUUCCUUUUUUUUCUUGUGGUGCAGGGCCGCGGCGGUGCGGGGAUGGGCGGUGCUGCAUCCCGCCCGCACAGACACCGAGGCCGCCCCCCGCACCUCCCCCCUGCACACACGUGCCCAUCGGCCUCGCGCAAGCGCUCCUAGGACAACGCCGACCAGAGAAAAACGCAGCAAGCGGCUCCAGGCGGUAGGCUGUGCGACUGCGGGUCUUUGCGCUCUCUUCCCCUCGUCCUCGCUGUGCGCGGCGCGAGGGGUGUGGCGAGGACAUGCGGUGAGGGGCGCGGGAGGGGCUGCCCGGAGGGUGGCAAGCAGUGCCCUCUGUUCUCUCCGCUUGGUCGCCGCCUCGUGCGCUUCUGUCUCCCCUUCGCUGCCGUGGCGGUGCGUCGCACCCCCACCGGCCUGCUGUCCUGACCCUUUUCGCUUGUGCGCAUGCCAUC
rnacentral:misc_RNA from 1 species